rnacentral:rRNA from 1 species
GACGAACGCUGGCGGCGUGCUUAACACAUGCAAGUCGAACGGGGUUAUUUAGGAGCUUGCUUCUGGAUAACCUAGUGGCGGACGGGUGAGUAACGCGUGAACAAUCUGUCCUUGUGAGGGGGAUAACAACUGGAAACAGUUGCUAAUACCGCAUAAGACCACGGAAUCGCAUGGUUCUGGGGUAAAAAGAGCAAUCUGCACAAGGGUGAGUUCGCGUCCCAUUAGCUAGUUGGUGAGGUAAAGGCCCACCAAGGCGACGAUGGGUAGCCGAUCUGAGAGGAUGAACGGCCACACUGGAACUGAGAAACGGUCCAGACUCCUACGGGAGGCAGCAGUGGGGAAUAUUGGGCAAUGGGCGAAAGCCUGACCCAGCAACGCCGCGUGAGGGAAGAAGGUUUUCGGAUCGUAAACCUCUGUCGCAUGGGACGAGUAGAAGACGGUACCAUGUGAGGAAGCUCCGGCUAACUACGUGCCAGCCGCCGCAGUAA